rnacentral:rRNA from 1 species
UACGUAGGGGGCAAGCGUUGUCCGGAAUCAUUGGGCGUAAAGCGCGUGUAGGCGGCUUGGUAGGUCCGUUCUGAAAGCCCGGGGCUCAACCCCGGGAGGCGGAUGGAUACUGUCAAGCUUGAGUCCGGAAGAGGCGAGUGGAAUUCCCGGUGUAGCGGUGAAAUGCGCAGAUAUCGGGAGGAACACCAAUGGCGAAGGCAGCUCGCUGGGACGUGACUGACGCUGAGACGCGAAAGCGUGGGGAGCAAACAGG